UACGUAGGCAGCGAGCGUUGUUCGGAAUUACUGGGCGUAAAGAGUGUGUAGGCGGUGCUCUAAGUUCGGUGUGAAAUCUCCUGGCUCAACUGGGAGGGUGCGCCGGAAACUGGAGUGCUUGAGCGUGGGAGAGGAAAGCGGAAUUCCUGGUGUAGCGGUGAAAUGCGUAGAUAUCAGGAGGAACACCUGUGGUGUAGACGGCUUUCUGGACCAUAGCUGACGCUGAGACACGAAAGCCGUGGGUAGCAAACAGG
rnacentral:rRNA from 1 species